rnacentral:lncRNA from 1 species
GAUUAAAGAAUUUUAAAGCAAGUAAUUUCACUGUGACUCCCCUAGGUUAUGAGCAGCCCAAGAGGAGGAACAAUGGUAGCUCCAGAAGUUCUAACAGGAAGAGGAAAGGGUCAGAGAUUUUAUUAAGAAAAGAAUUUUGGAGGAGUAAUCAGCGGAUUUGACUUGAAACAAUAGCUGCAGAAUAUGUUUAAUUUUGAAGAUCUACACUUUUAUUUCAGAGAAGUAUGGAGGGGCACAAUGAGUAAAUACAAAUGUUUGGUCCACUAUCUUGGAUCAGAAGGCUAGCCGAACAUCUUGGAUUCCACUGAGCUAAUUGACAUUGUAUAAUAAUGAAAAAAAUAAACAAAUUUCUCAAGACUCAAAAUAUCUAAGAAUGUAGGUCAAGAACAUUUAAGAGGGGGAAGAUGGGUGUAAAUAUCUGAGAACAUUCUGGGGAAAGGAGUUACAGUGAUGAACAAAGAAGACAUAUUUGAGAAGUGAAGAAUACAGACAACCUCCCUCACACCAAAACACCGGAAGACUUGAGUGAGCAGAUCAAUGCCACAGGCAAAUGACUCAGUGAAAAUCUUGAAUGUUUGCUAAGAUCUCCUGCAGCAUCCCAGGUCAAAGAGGCUGACUCAGAGGGCCCUACUCCCACUGCUGUCCCUGACACACAUUGGAGAGGCCUUGAGACAUGCUGCCUCUGAAGUCGGUAUCA